UUGAAGAUGUUUCUACCAAGAGACGACGGAGGCAUUUUAACACACGGCAUUCCUGUUGUCGGGACCUUCAGGGAUGCUUCAGUUCAGCUGGCAACGUGGCUCACUCUUUCAUAAGACCCUAAAAAACACCAUCAAUCCUUAACUCUGCAACGAAUUAAAUGAAAAAAAUAAAUAAAUAAAAUUGGAGGGAGGUAUGAGUUUUUGAAAGCUGGUUUAAAUGAUAGAGGGACCUCAUUCGAGGGACUUAGGGCCCCAGAAACGAACGGGGGGAAUUCGAUCAUAUCCAAGAGUAGUUGGAAAUGAAAAAAAUAAAAUAAAUAAAAAGGUUCGUUCACCGAUCCAAACUGGCAAUGGAACGCAGAAGCGACAGAUCGCCUGUCUUCGUCAUUCUCUUAUUUUCUUCGAAAGGUAGACCCACUACAGUUUGGAAUUUCAAACCUUUCCAAUGCCAAAACCAUCAACAAAAUGAAAAAUAAAAUAAAACAAGGUGCAUCUUGUGUCCGGUUGAAAUGACAAAGGUCGAGUUCAAUACAGCACCGAUUUGGCCACUGUGCUUCUGUUUGGCUGAAAGUUGCUCAUACACGAGGACAAACUGUGGUAAAGGGACUGGACCCAAAAUCCCCACCCCAUCCAUAUUUUCUUGUACUUGGGACCGUCUUUGUGUACCGAGUUUUCACAAAUGCAAAUAGACUGUCAUCACAAAUAUGAUGCAAGAAUUUCCGUUGAAUUGCAACAACACCAAAGACGAAGAAUAAUUAUACAACAAACAAAAAUGACUGGUAAUAAUUAAUCAUCCAUCACUCUUCAGAAGCCUCAACCAAAAACAAUACAUCCUAAAAAAACCAUCGAUUUAUUUAUCUCACUAUUUCACAUAUAUUAAUCAAAAGUUUUUUUUUUUAUUUGAUAGCUUUCACAAUAAAAAAAAAUUGAACCGAAUCACUUAUAAAGCCGUCAAAAUUAUUUUUAUUGAGACAAGCAGUUCUUUAAUCAGCAACAAUUAAUGAUACCUUUAAGUUAAUUUUACAACAAUUCACUUUCUAA